GCCGCUAUGGAGCCCAGUUUUCCUCCCCCACACGUGAGAUCCCUUCACCAGCAUCUCUCUUCCUCAAGCGCCAUUCCUGGCUUCUCCCAUGCCGAGCGUCUCGAAUGCCCAAACCUCCAUUGCCGACGUCGCCCUGCUCGGGUCCAACCAGCUCCCCUUCCUGUUGUUGUGUCCAGCCGAUGCCCCUCCCUCCAUCUUCCUCUCUGCAGCAACCCUACCAUGGUUGUGCCCCUGCUUCCUUGGUGAGCUCGCCCCAGCCCCAACGUCAGACAUGCCGUCGCCCUCACGUCCAGCUCCUCCAUCCCCCUGGUUCCCUCCGUGCUCCGACCAGGUUUGCCAGGUCCGACCGUUCUGCUCGCCGCGCCCUCCCCAUGCCAGCACGCGAGCGCCCCCUCCCGUCCCUCCUCCUCUCCAUCGACGCCCAGGUCGAUGCCGAGCUCCCAGCCCCUCCCGAUGGCGUGGUCAAGCAUCUAGGUAUCAGAAUUCCUGGAUUCCAAAUCUGAGACGGAUGUUGAUGUUGACUAUAACAGCUUGUACUCAAAGGAGGACUUUCUACAGGGUUUGCAAGAUCUCACACGGUGAAGUAUGGAGUAGAAAUAACUCUGCAGCGACUAGGUGUCAGCGGCGGGGCCCUCUCCGUCGCCGCCUUCGGCAGCACAUAUAUCAGUUUGAAUUAUUUAUUCCACUAUUGUGGUCUCUUUUUUUGUAGAAAACUGGUAGAGAUGAGAAAGAAGUCCUUAAAGCUAUUGAUUAUGUGCAUGAAUUGAGUAUGAGGUGCCCUGGCCAAAGCGAGUGUUCUACUCUACCCAAAACUUUAGGUAGUUGUGUUGUCUUUAGUGGUUCAGUUCCUCUAAGUAAAUCAUUCGCUCAAAAGGUGUCAUCUGAAGCUAGAAAGGUGAUAACCCAAAGAUAUAUGUGCUUAUGUUUAGAACUUGAUCUUCUUACUCUUAUAUAACCUAAGUAUGAACUCUUAUUUCAGACCAGUAUUAUGGUUUACUCUUAUAUAACCUAAGUUCAUAUGUCCUACAAAAGCAAAAAUAGUUUAUGAAGCAUAAUAGUUUUGCCAAUACUAAAUUCUUGAGUGGUAUAUGUGAAAGUACUAUAGCUAAGACUGAUCAAUAUUUAUUUAAUUAUUUAUGAUGAUGUAGCGGAACCACCCGAAUUAUUCCAGCUUAAGUGCCUAAGUCACGCCUCAGGGGCCAUAACACACUUAAAUCGGAAUAACCCGUCAGUCCCUCAGAUCUAGUCUGAUAGAGCCACUUAACCAGGAUCAAAUUCCACAAUCUCACUCGAAGGUGAGUCACAGAAGAAAUACAAUAAAACAGGAAACCUCAAAUUAAGUGUUGAAUUAUUACAUAGAUCGGAGUUUCUGAGUAACGAAUAAAGUUCACAAAAUAAAGUGCAGCGAAUAAUCGAUGUCGUCGGUAUCGAGGAAUUUGGGCAAGGCCUAGCCCACUAUUCCUCGUGCUCCUCUCUUGCCGGAGCAACAUCCCACUCGACCGUCCAACCCGGUGGCAGGGUGGUAGGCCAAGUCACACCAUCAACCAUUUCUUGAAUGGUACCUGCAAAAAUUGUGCCACAAGCAAGGCUGAGUAUACUAAUACUCAGCUAGACUUAACCGGUGUGAGGAGUCUACUCCUAUACCUCUAGACUAUGCAGCUGUUUGGCUGAGGGGUUUGGUUUGCCAAAAGCACUAGCUGUUUCUAAAAUCAAUUUUUAGCUUUUCAGAUUCUAUCAUCAUUAGCUUAGCUAGAUUUGCUCCUUCUAAGCAUACAUGGUGACAAGCAUUUAGUUCAAUCAACAAAUUAUCUCAUGUAACCUCAUUUCACUUCUUACUCGAUGCAGUACAAGGGGUCAAGCAGUCUCAUUAGCUGCGAGAAGCAGACGAUUCGAAUCGAGUUUUAACCUUGCAAG